rnacentral:rRNA from 1 species
AUAUUGGGCAAUGGCCGAGAGGCUGACCCAGCCAUGACGCGUGCAGGAAGAAGGCCUUCUGGGUUGUAAACUGCUUUUAUCGGGGAAGAAAACGCUCCUGCGGGAGUAACUGACGGUACCCGAUGAAUAAGCACCGGCUAACUCCGUUCCAGCAGCCGCGGUAAUACGGAGGGUGCAGGCGUUGUCCGGAUUGAUUGGGUUUAAAGGGUGCGUAGGCGGCCCGUUAAGUCAGCGGUGAAAUCCCACGGCUCAACCGUGGAGCUGCCGUUGCUACUGGCGGGCUUGAGUUCGGUCGAGGCGGGCGGAACUGGCGGUGUAGCGGUGAAAUGCUUAGAUACCGCCAAGAACCCCGAUUGCGUAGGCAGCUCGCUGGGCCGAAACUGACGCUGCGGCACGAAAGCGUGGGGAGCGAACA